GACGAACGCUGGCGGCGUGCUUAACACAUGCAAGUCGAACGCUGAAGCUCAGCUUUUGUUGGGUGGAUGAGUGGCGAACGGGUGAGUAACACGUGAGUAACCUGCCUCCUUCUUUGGGAUAACGCCCGGAAACGGGUGCUAAUACUGGAUAUUCACUGGUCUUCGCAUGGGGGUUGGUGGAAAGGGUUUUUCUGGUGGGGGAUGGGCUGGCGGCCUAUCAGCUUGUUGGUGGGGUGAUGGCCUACCAAGGCUUUGACGGGUAGCCGGCCUGAGAGGGUGACCGGUCACAUUGGGACUGAGAUACGGCCCAGACUCCUACGGGAGGCAGCAGUGGGGAAUAUUGCACAAUGGGCGCAAGCCUGAUGCAGCGACGCCGCGUGAGGGAUGGAGGCCUUCGGGUUGUGAACCUCUUUCGCUCAUGGUCAAGCCGCAACAAUGGUUGUGGUGAGGGUAGUGGGUAAAGAAGCGCCGGCUAACUACGUG
rnacentral:rRNA from 1 species